rnacentral:rRNA from 1 species
CCUACGGGCGACAGCAGUGGGGAAUAGUGCGCAAUGGGCGAAAGCCUGACGCAGCGACGCCGCGUGAGGGAUGAAGGUCUUCGGAUCGUAAACCUCUGUCAGUAGGGAAGAACGGUCACGGUGCUAAGCAGCAGUGAAUUGACGGUACCGGCAAAGGAAGCACCGGCUAACUCCGUGCCCGCAGCCGCGGUAAUACGGAGGGUGCGAGCGUUAAUCGGAAUUACUGGGCGUAAAGCGCUCGUAGGCGGUAUGUCAAGUCAAGGGUGAAAUCCCCGCGCUCAACGUGGGAACUGCCUUUGAAACUUGCAAACUGGCGUGUGUGCGAGGCUAGUGGCAUUCCAGGUGU